ACAGAGGGAGCCGGCUCCGGUCUCGGCCAGCCCAGAGAGGGCCUCCCAUAGUGCAGCGGGGGGCUGAAGGUCUCCUCAAGCGCUGCCAGAGUGGGCGUCGAGGCUGAGGAGACACCGAGAGCGAGUGAGGGCUGCCAGCAUGCUGUCACCUCUCAGUAAUUUGAGAAAAUUUCUGUUUUCUAUGGGUAAUCUGUAUCUCUGGCCUCCUUGUCUGACUGAGUGG
rnacentral:lncRNA from 1 species